rnacentral:rRNA from 1 species
CCUACGGGUGGCUGCAGUGAGGAAUAUUGGACAAUGGCCGGAAGGCUGAACCAGCCAUGCCGCGUGAAGGUCAGUGCCCUUUGGGCGUUAAACUUCUUUUGUGCGGGAGCAAUAUUGGUCACGUGUGGCCAGACGAGAGUACCGUACGAAUAAGCAUCGCCUAACUCCGUGCCAGCAGCCGCGGUAAUACGGGGGAUGCAAGCGUUAUCCGGGUUUAUUGGGUUUAAAGGGUGCGUAGUCUGGGAGGUAAGUCAGCGGUGAAAUGCCCCCGCUCAACGGGGUGAAGUGCAAUUGAUACUGCCUUGCUGGAAUGCGGAUGCGGUGGGAGGAAGGUGUGGUGUAGCGGUGAAAUGCAUAGAUAUCACACAGAACACCGAUUGCGAAGGCAUCUCACGAAUCCGCGAUUGACGCUGAGGCACGAAGGCGUGGGUAUCAAACAGGAUUAGAUACCCGGGUAGUC